CAAGUCACUAACGUCAAUCUGUUUAUCCACAGAUAAGAGUUGAGUGGGCUAAAUUAAUUCAACCAUGGGAUCACGCUAGACUACAACAAACCACUUGUAGGUUGUAGCUAUGGUGUGUUCAUGUCGGAGACAAAAGUGUUAGGAUUUAGAAGUUUAGCAAAAUAUGCGUGACACUGUAAUUUGUAACAGAGUUAUGUCUUGGUCCAAAAAACAAUCAACCUUGGAGCUAGAGCUGCUCAGAGAAGUUGCUCUCAGAAGAAUCUUGCUCGAGCAAGAGAUAUUCCUGCUCAAGCAAGAGAAUCAAAAACUGUUUUUUUAAUUAGAGCAGCAUGUUGAAGAAGCCUGGGAUUAUGUUUUCAACACUAUAGUUUCUAAAGCCAAAACGGAAAUCUUAUAAGGCCAUAUGCUUGUUGAGCUCUGAAUCCAAAAGGGAGUGUAUUAUAUAAAAUCUUUUGAGCCAUUUUGGUGAAGAAAAUAUACUCAGUAAGCCUUAGUGCAACAGGCCAUUCCAAAUGGGUAGAGCUUUGUGUCUUUAGCUCUCUAGAGGCAAGGAUUGGGUUAAAUCCUCCUGAGCCAUAUUAUUGGAGAGCAGAGAUUAGAGAGAGUUUAAGCUCCCAUGCUUUUCUGUCAAAGGCAAGCAACUAGAGAGAAUGGUGUGCUAAGCUCCUGGGCCGAGAGAAAUGCAAAACAACAGUGUGUCCUCACUGAUCAAACUAAAAAAAAAAGAGAGAGAGAGAGAGAGACCCUAUACCUUAGCUUCAAAAAUUCUAUUUUUUCACUUGUUUUGUUCUUAACAUAGCCAAAAUCACUAAAAGAACCCGCACCAGGUGCUUGAUAAAAUACCCGCUUUUACUAUCCCACUCUUCUUUCAAUCCCCAGAGAGAAUGUUUGUGAGUUUCAAACCACAAAGCCAAAUCUUCAUUGAGAUUUACUGCAGUGCCGGAGGUUGUGUCAUGGAGGAAAGCACUAUACAAGGAUUCUAGAGGUUCUGGAACUACCAAGGUAGGAAUGCAAGCGAUGCAUUUGCAGAGGUUGCAUAGAGUUUAUAGGUUAGUAAAGGUUUUGUAAGUCGCUGACUAUUGUAACUAUUUCUUUAAUAGUGAUUUUUUAUAUGGGAAUGUCUUUGUCCCUGUAGUUGUUUUUCCUUAAAGAGGUUCUCCUUAAGUUUUUGACUUCGUGACCAUUCUCUUUGUCACACUAUCUUGUUAAUUGUAUAGGGGUUCAAACUAUACUUUUCAAUAAGUAAAUGAGUGUAAUCACAUGGCGUGGUGACCCUCAUUCACUUUAUUAUUCCCAUAAAAUGAGGGUUUACGGAUGAUUGCAUUGUUUGGGGAAGAGUUGUGACCUUUGAGAGAAACACAACCCUUUGCAGGUAUGAGUAUUGAUGGUUCACGGAAGGGUGCAAACACUUCCAUGAAUAAGAGGGAUCUCGUGAUAUUUGAGUUUCUAAUUCAUUCAAACUUUCUACCACGUGAUCACCACCAUUUGGGGAUCACCAUACUUGUCUAAGACCAACAAUAAGAACUCUUUGAUGACAAUCAACCUUCUUAAAACAUAAUGAAUGGCUCUUUAACCUUUUUAGAUCUCAACUCUGUCACACCAAACCGUCCAAAGUCAAUGAUGGUAUCUACCAUUGGAUGACUUAUUCUAUAUGAUCUCAAUGCUUAAAUUUUAUUGUGUACACAGAACAAAUGUUAUUGUUAAUGUUUUUUUGGAGAGAAAGUUGUAAAAUAUAAAUUAAGUUGCUUGGUAGCUAACAUUACCUACUUGAGAAAUAGUCGAAGGAUUACCAUGUCAAAGGGUAUAGUGUCAGCGCACCCUUUCACACAGUCAUAUCCAUUUCAUAAACCAUCAGCUUCUUGUUUGUCCUUCAAAAGAAUAUGGCAGAAUCAUUUCGGUUCAACUUCGCAGCAAAAGUUCUAGUGAAGAUCAGUUCCCCUAUCUUUCAAGAAGUCGUGUUGAUAUGGGGUGUUGAAGGCGAUUUGGAAAAGCUUGAGGACACCUUGUCCACAGACAAAGCCGUUCUGUUGGUUGCAGAGGAACAGCAGGGACAUAAUCAGGAGCAGACUGUCUGGCUUGGGAAGCUAUAAAACAUCUUUUAUGAUGCCGAAGAUGUGCUGGAUGAAUUCAAGUGUGAAGCAUUGAGGAGAUCAUUGGGAGCAGCACCAGAAAGACUAGGAAACAGGCAUGUCAUGCAUGGGUGGAGGGUGAUGAGCUAUUCCUUUGUGCAGACUUCAGAUGUCAUUGGAAGAGACAAGGAUAAAGAAAUAAUAGUUAAACUUAUAAUGCAUCCUUGUGAUGGUGAUCAAAAGGUCUGUGUUUUUCCCAUAGCUGGAAUUGCAGGUCUUGGGAAGACUACACUUGCUAAAUGGUGUUCAACAAUGAAGAAGUGGUCGGCCAUUUUCACUUGAGAAUAUGGGUAAGUGUAUCUGAUGACUUUAACAUAAAACAAUUGUUGUCAAAUUAAUCAAAUCUGUAACUAAUGAAAAUUGUAGUGAUUUGGACGUAGAGCAAUUGCAAAUGCGCCUUUGAGGUCAUUUGCACAACAGAAAAUCCUUACUUUUCUUGGAUGAUGUGUAGAAUGAGAAUCAGGGAAAAUGGAUUAAGUUGAGGAAUUUUUUGAUGGAGGGUACCAAAUGGAAGUAAGAUCCUCGUGACAACACGCAGCCUAAUAGUUGCAUCCAUUAUACUUACCAUUUCCUUCUACAACUUAGAAUUACUUCUACAUAAAGAGUGUCUAUCUUUAUUUAUAAAAUGGGCUUCUGGUGAAGGAGAAGCAAGAUAACAUGCAAAACUCAUUGAAGUUGGGGAUGAGAUGGUGAAGAAAUGCAAAGGAGUUCUAGCAGUGAAGACAUAGGGAGCUUACUAUAUUCAAAGCUCAAUGAACGUGAUUGGCUAUUUGUAAAGGAUAAUGAAAUGUGGAAACUGGAACAAAAAGGAAGGGAUAUUUUGCCUACCUUACAAUUGAGUUAUAAUCAAAUGCCAUCUUAAAACAA